rnacentral:rRNA from 1 species
AGUGAACGCUGGCGGCAGGCCUAACACAUGCAAGUCGAACGGCAGCACAGAGGAGCUUGCUCCUUGGGUGGCGAGUGGCGGACGGGUGAGGAAUACAUCGGAAUCUGCCUAGUCGUGGAGGAUAACGUAGGGAAACUUACGCUAAUACCGCAUACGACCUACGGGUGAAAGCGGGGAUCGCAAGACCUCGCGCGAUUAGAUGAGCCGAUGUCCGAUUAGCUAGUUGGCGGGGUAAUGGCCCACCAAGGCGACGAUCGGUAGCUGGUCUGAGAGGAUGAUCAGCCACACUGGAACUGAGACACGGUCCAGACUCCUACGGGAGGCAGCAGUGGGGAAUAUUGGACAAUGGGCGCAAGCCUGAUCCAGCCAUGCCGCGUGGGUGAAGAAGGCCUCGGUUGUAAGCCUUUGUCCGGAAAUGAAAGCACUGGAUUAAUNCUUCAGGUGUUCGUGACGGUACCGGAAAGGAAUAAGCACCGGCUAACUUCGUGCCAGCAGCCG